GAUAGACUGCUUUUAUAUAGUGCACUCACUUUAGCAAGGGGUUUUAUCAUUAGUUUUAUUUCAUAAUGAUAAUAGAAGAUAUCUAUGAUGAUAACAAAUAUUUUUAUUGUUAACGCAUUUUAUUUUAAAAUUAUUUAACAUUUUUACAAAUUGAAGUAUUCCCGAUUCUGUACGAAUUAUCAUUUGUCUUCAAGCUAUGGUUCGAACUUGCAUUGUUUUUCAUGUAUCCUCUAAAGAUAAUACAGGCAACGUAUCAUUUCAUUUGUAGAGACAUGAUAUCGAAAGAAAAGUAUCGAUACUUUCACUUGGUAACGAAUGGAAUGAAAAUAACGAAACGUAACGACCGGUAUGAGUAUCGAAAAAAAAUAUUGAUCCUUUUACUUAGUCCUAUCAUCGUAACAAAUAUAAUUAAAAUAUUGAUAACAAUAAAAUAUGAAAACGACCUAUAUGAAUAA
rnacentral:misc_RNA from 1 species